rnacentral:rRNA from 1 species
UACGUAGGGGGCGAGCGUUGUCCGGAUUUAUUGGGCGUAAAGAGCUCGUAGGCGGUUUGGUAAGUCGGGUGUGAAAUCUCCACGCUCAACGUGGAGGGGCCACUCGAUACUGCCAUGACUCGAGUCCGGGAGAGGUGAGUGGAACUGCGAGUGUAGAGGUGAAAUUCGUAGAUAUUCGCAAGAACACCAGUGGCGAAGGCGGCUCACUGGCCCGGUACUGACGCUGAGGUGCGAAAGCGUGGGGAGCAAACAGG